rnacentral:rRNA from 1 species
UGAGGAAUCUUAGACAAUGGGGGAAACCCUGAUCUAGCCAUGCCGCGUGAGUGAUGAAGGCCCUAGGGUUGUAAAGCUCUUUCACCGGUGAAGAUAAUGACGGUAGCCGGAGAAGAAGCCCCGGCUAACUCCGUGCCAGCAGCCGCGGUAAUACGGAGGGGGCUAGCGUUGUUCGGAAUUACUGGGCGUAAAGCGCGCGUAGGCGGACCGUUAAGUCAGGGGUGAAAUCCCGAGGCUCAACCUCGGAACUGCCCUUGAUACUGGCGGCCUUGAGGUCAAGAGAGGCAAGUGGAAUUCCGAGUGUAGAGGUGAAAUUCGUAGAUAUUCGGAAGAACACCAGUGGCGAAGGC